rnacentral:tRNA from 1 species
AGGGGUGUGGCUCAGUGGUAGAGCUCUUGCUUGUCUAGCCUGCAUGAGGCCCUGGGUUCAAUUCUCAGCACUGCCA